AUGAUGAACAUUUGACAAACUGAGAGAUUAAAUCUAUUGUCGGAAUCAGAGAAUAUCGAAGAAAACUAAAGAUGAGGCUGUUAGUUUUCCUCUGUUUCCUUAUUGGUGUAUCUUGUGUCUGUGGGAGAUGUAUUCGCUACUGCUGUCAGUAUGGUCACGUUGGCCUGGAAGCCAUUUGUGAGAAGUACUGUAAUUAUUGUGGGGACUUUCCUGGAUUGAGAGAAUCCCAGCAUAGAUUGACAGUUAAACGGAGCCUGUCAAAGAACAUUGCAAACUUUUUUCAUCCUAGGAAGAGAUUUAAACACCAUUAGAGAAGUGUUUCAGGUGUUUUGAUAAUUUUGAAGAACUUGGAUCAAAAAAGUACGUCAGGACAUCCCUUUGAAUUGACCUACAAGCAGCUUGAUUUCAUAUAAAUAAUAAUAUCU